AUAAUACAUAACAUAUAUAAAGGUUGAGGAUGAACACGGAUGCGGCCACUUUCAUUUUUGACAAAAACCAUCUGAAAAACGACAUUUUUCGGCAUAUUUGGUAGAUUUUUCAUAUUUGAGCUUGAAUCGAAUAGUUUUUAAUGACUAAAUUAGUUAAAAUCUUUCACUUGAACUAAUUGAAUCUAAUGAAAUAGACACUUA
rnacentral:lncRNA from 1 species